rnacentral:lncRNA from 1 species
AGUCUGGGAGGCUGGCGCAAACGCAGCGGGUGGCUGGGGUAGGGGCUCAUUGGGAGCCCACGGAGCGCGGCGGCGGCUCGGGGGCCGAGUUCCCUACAACAAGGAUGGCGGUGACGGGCGCAGGGAGCGGGGCCCGGCUCUCCUUGCCUCGAGGCUCCUCUGAUUCCACUCGCGUGGCUGCGCGGCCCUGGCAGCGGCCUUCGUCCCGGGGGUGGGAGCUACACAGGGUUCCGCCCCGUCCUGGCGAGGACGCCUGAGGGGGCUCUGUGGUAAGGCUCUGUCGGGCAGGCCGGGCUUCCGGGAGGACCUGGUCUGGAUCGGUCACCGCUGGGUGCCUGAGCUCCGCAUGGAGCCUGCAGCCUUUGUUUAACUUAUAAAGAAAUGGGGGCUCCGAGCAGUCAAGAAGAACAUGCCCCAAGUUAUUCGUCAGUGAGGCGGAAAUUGUGGUGUACUUGUUCCAGACCAACUAUGAAGAUAGGAUGCCCAUCCAGAAGAACGGGAAGCAUUUUCUUCCUCACCUUUGGAAAGUAAAACAAAAAAAAAAAGAAAAAUAAAAGAAAAAA